GGGCCGGUAGCUCAGCUUGGACAGAGCACUUCUCUCCUAAGGAAGGGGUCAUGAGUUCGAAUCUCAUCCGGCUCG
rnacentral:tRNA from 1 species